AACCCGCCUGCGUGAAGCCGGAAUUGCUAGUAAUCGCGGAUCAGCAUGCCGCGGUGAAUACGUUCCCGGGCCUUGUACACACCGCCCGUCACACCAUGAGAGCCGGGGGGACCCGAAGUCCGUAGCCUAACCGAAAGGGGGGCGCGGCCGAAGGUAAAACUGGUGAUUGGGGUGAAGUCGUAACAAGGUAUC
rnacentral:rRNA from 1 species